rfam:Tortispora caseinolytica NRRL Y-17796 unplaced genomic scaffold CANCAscaffold_2, whole genome shotgun sequence.
GCGGUGAUAGCUCAGUUGGGAGAGCGUCAGACUGAAGUUUACUCAGUCACAUUGUUAUCUGAAGGUCCUGUGUUCAAUCCACAGUCAUCGCA